AGAGUUUGAUCCUGGCUCAGAUUGAACGCUAGCGGGAUGCUUUACACAUGCAAGUCGAACGGCAGCGCGAGGAAAGCUUGCUUUUCUUGGCGGCGAGUGGCGAACGGGUGAGUAAUGCAUCGGAACGUAUCCUUGAGUGGGGGAGUAACGCAGCGAAAGUUAGUGCUAAUACCGCAUAAAGCUCUGAGGAGGAAAGACGGGGGACCGGAAAGGACCUCGCGCUGAAGGAGCGGCCGAUGUCCGAUUAGCUAGUUGGUGAGGUAAAGGACUUACCAAGGCGACGAUCGGUAGCUGGUCUGAGAGGAUGAUCAGCCACACUGGGACGUGAGACACGGCCCGACGACUCCUACGGGAGGCGAC
rnacentral:rRNA from 1 species